AUGAUGGCGAGUGUCUCAAAACGCUCCUUGGGACCUAUAAUUGGUCUUGCUUCUAUUGCUGUGCCUCCUACUGAUCCUUUACAACAAUAUCUGUUAGAUCAUGAAAAUGAUUUACAUAUGCAUGAAAGAAAUGAAAUAGAUAAGAUUUUCUUUGAACAACGUCCUUUGCUUCAACACAAUUUGCCUAUUGAAACUCUAGGAGGUCCUCCUCCACCUAAAAAUGAUCCUGUGUUUGAAUUUAAACAAUUGCCAGACACUUUGAAAUAUGCUUAUCUUGAUGAAAAGAAGAUAUAUCCUGUUAUUAUUAGUGCUAAACUUUCAGACCAUGAAGAAGAAAGAUUAUUGAAAGUUCUAAGGAAGCACCGAGCUGCUAUUGGAUAUACUCUUGAUGAUUUAAAGGGCAUUAGUCCCACUCUAUGUUAG
rnacentral:rRNA from 1 species